CCCUACAGAGCCUUAUGUUUUUGCUUCUUGUUCCGUGGAUGGAAGCAUUGCUAUAUGGGAUACCCGAUGGGGGAAGUUGCCAGCGGCAUCUUUUAAAGAUCAUAAUGCUGAUGUGAAUGUAAUGUCAUGGAACAGGUUGGCUAGUUGUAUGUUUGCCUCGGAGUGAUGAUGGGACAAUUUCCAUUCGUGAUCUGAGAUUACUCAAGGAAGGAGAUUCUGUGGUAGCACAUUUUGAAUACCAUAAGCACCCAAUCACAUCCAUUGAGUGGAGUCCACAUGAAGCCUCUUCAUUGGCCGUUUCAUCAUCCGAUAAUCAGCUUACGCGAGUAAAAUAUUUAUAUAUCUGCAAAUCCCGUUAAUCAACUUCCAAACAGAUUUUAGUACUCUUUUUAAACCGUCUAUUUUGUGAUCUUUGUUGAUCUAUUUUUAUAUAUAAAAUACUAAAGUUACAUUCAACUUGAUUCUACUAGAAGGAAUUAACUUUUCUACUGUUGAAAUGAUUAAUUAUCACUGAAAGAAACUAAUUAAAAAGUUUAGUGCCUAAACUAGAAAAGAAAAGGUGUAGAUAGUGGGUAUUAUUUUUCCAAUUCUGCCCUCUUUAUUUCUAGUGUGUUGCCCAUUUUACGUCGUAGUUACCCAAAAUUAAAUAAUAUUUCCCAAA